GCCUUCGUGGUGUAAUGGUAACACACUCGGCGUGUAGAGGUCUAAGUUCGAGUCUCGGCGAGGGCG
rnacentral:tRNA from 1 species